rnacentral:rRNA from 1 species
GACGAACGCUGGCGGCGUGCUUAACACAUGCAAGUCGAACGAUGAAGCCGGAGCUUGCUCUGGUGGAUUAGUGGCGAACGGGUGAGUAACACGUGAGUAACCUGCCCUUGACUCUGGGAUAAGCGUUGGAAACGACGUCUAAUACCGGAUACGAGCUAGGACCGCAUGGUCACUAGCUGGAAAGAAUUUCGGUCAAGGAUGGACUCGCAGCCUAUCAGUUAGUUGGUGAGGUAACGGCUCACCAAGACGACGACGGGUAGCCGGCCCGAGAGGGUGACCGGCCACACUGGGACUGAGACACGGCCCAGACUCCUACGGGAGGCAGCAGUGGGGAAUAUUGCACAACGGGCGCAAGCCUGAUGCAGCAACGCCGCGUGAGGGACGACGGCCUUCGGGUUGUAAACCUCUUUUAGCAGGGAAGAAGCGCAAGUGACGGUACCUGCAGAAAAAGCACCGGCUAACUACGUGCCAGCCGCCGCAGUAA